AGUCCCCUAAAACCCUGCUCUUGCGCAGUUCCGUGAUUCCUUUAAUAUUCUUGGCUGGAUUCUACUCUAGAUUUAUGAACGGUGUUCAAGUCCGUGGGCGUGAUGUUUACCGAAGGGCUGGAUCCCCAUGCAAUUCAAUGGAUCCAGGAGAGCACUGAUCAGGUUCACAAUAUUCGAAAUGAUGGACUAGACUUUACAAUCCCUCCGCCAGAGAAAUUUCAGAGCGGGCAUCAGCCUGACAAUGCGGUACCUCUAUCUCACAAAAUACCAGUGGAUGUCUCAUCGGACACCGAGGAAGAAAUCUAUGGCAUCCUGAAUUCUUCUUCACCUCAAAAUAUUCAUUCCCAAAGAGAGAUUCAUAAUGGAGCCACUGGAUUUACCCGGCAAUAUCAUUACGGUAGUGAUGGCUAUUUGAACUUGAGUUCGUCUGCGGACGCU